GACGAACGCUGGCGGCGUGCUUAACACAUGCAAGUCGAACGGGCUCUGUCUGGCUGUGUGCUGGGUGGGGUUAGUGGCGAACGGGUGAGUAAUACGUGAGUAACCUGCCCUCUUCUUUGGGAUAAGCCUUGGAAACGGGGUCUAAUACUGGAUAUUCCUGUCUGGUCGCAUGGCUGGGUGGGGAAAGUUUUUUUCGGUGGGGGAUGGGCUCGCGGCCUAUCAGCGUGUUGGUGGGGUGAUGGCCUACCAAGGCGUCGACGGGUAGCCGGCCUGAGAGGGUGACCGGCCGCACUGGGACUGAGAUACGGCCCAGACGCCUGCGGGAGGCAGCAGUGGGGGGUGAUGCGCAAGGGGCGCAAGCCUGAUGCAGCGACGCCGCGUGGGGGAUGACGGCUUUCGGGUUGUAAACCUCUUGCGACGGGGGACAAGGCUCUGCUUGGUGGUGGGGUUGAGGGUACCCGGUGAAGAAGCGCCGGCUAACUACGUG
rnacentral:rRNA from 1 species